rnacentral:rRNA from 1 species
UACGAAGGGUGCAAGCGUUACUCGGAAUUACUGGGCGUAAAGCGUGCGUAGGUGGUUCGUUAAGUCUGAUGUGAAAGCCCCGGGCUCAACCUGGGAACUGCAUUGGAUACUGGCGAUCUGGAGUGCGGUAGAGGGUGGCGGAAUUCCCGGUGUAGCAGUGAAAUGCGUAGAUAUUAGGAAGAACACCGGUGGCGAAGGCGGCCCACUGGUCCGGUACUGACGCUGAGGUGCGAAAGCGUGGGGAGCAAACAGG